AAACGGUCCCGUCACCCUACAGCACCGACCCGUCACCCUCACACACCGACAGUCACCAUCACACACCGUCAAGUCUCCCUCAGACUUGGCCGUGCACCCUAACAACCUACAGGACACUGUUAUAUAAUCGAUAAUACACUAAUCACCCAACCAUCCCUUGCAAGCACAGCCUAUAUACCGCACAUUCCCCCUCAUCCUCCUCAUGAAAAAACAAAACUGCAUCUCAAUAGCCCCUAUGCUAAUAACACAGGUCAAGGUAUAGCUCUAUGGGGUGGGAGAAAUGGGCUACAUUUUCUAACAUAGAACAAACGAAAAAGGACGUGAAACCCGCCCUUAGAAGGAGGAUUUAGCAGUAAAGUGAGAUCAUACCCCCUAAGCUCACUUUAAGACGGCUCUGAGGCACGUACACACCGCCCGUCACCCUCACACACC
rnacentral:rRNA from 1 species